GUCUCCGUGGCGCAAUUGGUUAGCGCGUCUGACUGUUACGCAGUGUCAUCAGGAGGUUGGCAGUUCAAGCCUGCCCGGGGACG